GAUGAACGCUGGCGGUGUGCCUAAUACAUGCAAGUCGUACGCAUUCUCGUUUCUGAUUGACGGUGCUUGCACCUAAUUGACGAGACAUUGGAAUGAGUGGCGGACGGGUGAGUAACACGUGGGUAACCUGCCCAGAAGUGGGGGAUAACAUUUGGAAACAGAUGCUAAUACCGCAUAAAAGUCAAGACCACAUGGUUUUGAUUUAAAAGAUGGCCUUUGUGCUAUCACUUCUGGAUGGACCCGCGGCGUAUUAGCUAGUUGGUAAGGUAACGGCUUACCAAGGCAAUGAUAUGUAGCCGAACUGAGAGGUUGAUCGGCCACAAUGGACUGAGACACGGCCCAUACUCCUACGGGAGGCAGCAGUAGGGAAUCUUCCACAAUGGGCGCAAGCCUGAUGGAGCAACACCGCGUGAGUGAAGAAGGGUUUCGGCUCGUAAAACUCUGUUGUUAAAGAAGAACGUAUCUAAGAGUAACUGCUUAGGUAGUGACGGUAUUUAACCAGAAAGCCACGGCUAACUACGUGCCAGCCGCCGCGGUAA
rnacentral:rRNA from 1 species